UUCAACUGAUUCAAUUUUGCUCCACAAGACAUUGUAUCUGAGCCUUUCUGGAGACUAUUCAAAGCAAAUCAUUUUCAUUUUACCAUUUGGAGGUGCUUUUCCUAUUAGGGAUCUCUAAUAGUGCUGGAUUUGUGCAGCAGCCCACAGACUGCAUCCCAAGCAGAGCAGAACCUAGGAAAGAGUAAGAAGCCAUGAUGAAGUGCCAACUAGAAGGAGACCUUCCACCAAACUUCGCUCCAAUCUGUUUUGUUAUGACAAGAACAAGUGGUUUUAACAAGUAUGCCAUAAAUCAGGGGCGCGCGCUCCAGCCCGGAGCCUUCCAGGUACAAACUCACAUUCCUUUUCUUCUGGUGGGGUUUUUUAUUUUCCAAGACAGAAAAAAAAACAUGGAAUUUGGAUGCUGCCAUCUGCAAAUAGGCAGCGGAGGGCUGGUCCUUGAGGUCAGUAUUAAUAGUUCUGUUCAACACAACUCACAGCAGAAUCCACAUGAUGCUGUCUGCAUCUCAUCUGAUUGAAGGUCCACAGCACAUCACACUUGGCUUUGUUCUGUAAGACAAAACCCUUUUCUUCAGUGACCAUACCCCUCUAACCAUGACUUUUUGGGCUGCUGUAGAUGGAAAGCAUGGGCUGGGAAAGGCACGGCUGUUUUGUUCCAGAGUGCUCCCACUGUACCUUCAGUCUAAUAGCUGUCCAGAAGUGUCUUGGGGAGGAAGGAACAUCGUCACCACUGGGUGGAUGAUGGUAACAAAGGCAGAAUUUCAUCUACAAAUCAAAACUUUGGAAACGUUUGGUUCUAGGUUCUCCCUUUGUGGUUUGAGUCUGCAGGUGCCAAUGUUGUUUCCCUUUCUUGCUGAGCUCUCAUUGGCCCAUGGAAACAGAUUUGUUCAGCUUUCACAGCAACCCUGCUUGCUGCAAACAAAAACCUACAGGCAACUGACAGAUUUGCUCCCAAGGCACACAAAGGACACAAGCUGGGAGUCAGGGCUUGCAGGGGAGCUGAUUUGAAGAGGGGGUGAGCAGGAGGGGAAGCUCUCAGCCUCAGAUCACUGUAACUGGAGGUGAAGGUUCCCUGCAGCAAAGAAAAGUCCAGUACAGCACCCAGGUUUGCUCAGGAGGUCACUAACAAACCUUGAAGACAAAAAGGUCUUUUCUAUUCCUACCUGACUGCCCAUAUACACUACUUGGUGAACAGGGGCUGUAGUGAGAGAAAAGGCCACAAAAAACUGAAAAUGUAGGUUUUCAUGCAGUAGGGUUGGCUAAGGAGCCUAAACAGCUGCACAGUGCACCUUUUGGUUCUUAGGAUUCAAACAAGCAGCCGACCUAAUAAUAAAGCACAAAGUCAACGAGAGUCUUAAACAAACACACUUCUGAAAUAUAUCUUGAUUAAAAAAAUAAAUAAAUCCAUAAAGAUAAAGGCAGAGAAGAGUACAAGGGUGAUGGUUUCUGCAUGCAGGCACUGAGGGACUCUAAGGGGAAAAGAAACAGCAGUAGGUAAAUACAGCCAUCCCUGUUCAUGUUUCCUGGAUGUCAGGCACGGUUAAUGUUAGGGAGACAGAGGGAGAGUUGAAGUAUUGGCCCCAAUUCAACAAAGCACUUAAGCAUGAGCUUAACUCUAAGUACGUACUUAAGUUCCUCCUUAUAUAGCAGAACAUAUGUUAACGCCCCGCGUAAGUGCAUGCUUAAAGUUAAGUGUCUGCUUAAGAGCUUUGUUGAAUCAAGGCUGGUGUUUACUUCUAACAAUUGAUGUCUCCUGGAAUAUCCACAUUUCUGGUUGCAAACCUGACACAUCUGUUUUCUCUUAGCAUUAUUAAUAGAGUCAUUCUUUAAAAAAAACACCCGACAACACAACCCUUAAAAAGCUGCGAUCGCUGCACUCAGGAGAGCAAAUGACCAACAAGACCCAGCCACUUCCCUGGGCAUCCCUAUGGGCUACGCUUCCUGUUUGUUCCAGGGCACCUAAGGGGAAGCAAUGAGUUGCAAAAUGACUGGAGUCAUCAAAUCAUCUGAAUUUAGCUUGAUAAGGAAAAUAAGUGAUACCAGUUUUAAGAAAUUUUGAAUAUUUAAAGGUUGCUGGUGUGUAAACUCGUGUUGUGGUUUGGGUUAGGGUUAGUUAAGGCUUGUCGCAGCUGAAGCUCAGAUAAAUUGUAAACCAAUAUGUGAUUUGUAACAUAAGAGAGCAUUGAAUUACUGUAUGCAAGCAAAUAUCAUGUAUCUAAAAUUCUUCUCUUAAGUAGAAUAGGUACCUUAGGAAAAUCCUGAGUUAUGAUAGACUCUCGGAAUUCAGCUUACCACCACCAAUGCAAGACAUCAUGCAGACAUAGAGAUAAUUCACAGCUUGUGUUCUUUUCAAAGCCACUUGCCCACUGCCGACAGGAUCAGCCCCAUGGAAUCCCACUUGUGCAGUCCCACUGGGAUGUGCUCAGGGGCAGCAGAGCCAGGUAAGGCACAGAGCAGUGUUUUGUGGCUCUAUUCAUCCAUUACCUUUUUUUUUUAUCAUUCAUUUUUGAGUGGUUUGGGGGCAUCUCUCCUGCAUCCCGCUACUCUUGGGAAGCAAGGCUCCAUCCCUCCAUUGGAUGCGGAUCCAAACCAGCCUUCCCAGCCCUGCCAGGCGGUUUCCCAGCAAUGCUGGAAACUCAGACCACAAUAGAAGGAAAUCACUAAAGCUCAAUUGCUCCAAGUAAGUCCUCAGCAGGGUUUGACUGGUAAAUAUUUAACAAGGAGAACUCCCUAUCCUCUCCUGGUACGUAUUAAACUAAUACAUUUAUUUUAACAAGGGAAAUGGUUUCCCCAAGCUCCUGCUCAAUUUGAGCCCUUGACUUCUACAAAAGCCUAAGUAAGGUAGGCUUCCUGGGGCUCAGUAAUUCACUGGGACUAAACGAGAGAUGGCUCCGAGCCACGAACCAGGAGCACGGAGGUGACAGGACCUCCCCAGGGCUGGGAAGAGCUCGGUGAUGGGCUCCCAUCCCACCCAUCUCCAGAUAGGUCCCAUCCCCACUUUGAGACAUCCCUGCUGCUGCCAUCUUCCCACUGCUUCAGCCAUCCCAUGGAGCAGGUUGCUCAUAACCCAUACACAAGGUUUUUUUUGUGCUGGAAACGGUCCCACAUCUGCAGGUGGGUUUGGGGGCUGCUUUGAGGGGUGAGGCUGUGGGCAGGGAUGUGAUGCUGCCACAGUGCAGAGCCAAGCACAGCAGCAGCCAUGAGGAUCCAAGGCUGCAGGAGGUUCUCCUGUUCUCUUGCUCAUCUUUUUUCAGCCUUGCCCUCAAGGAAACAAAAAGCUCAGAAAGCACCUCCCAGUUUUGCAUCUAUCUUUGCUCAGAGCCGUCUCAUGGCUCCAGCACUUUCACUCUGACUCACGGGCAGAAGGGCAGGUUCCAACAGCUGUGGCCGCCUCUGCCAAGGCAAUUACAGCUCCUGGCAUCAUGGUACAAAACUCCAUGGGAAAUUUUCCACAGCUCAGCAUGUCCAGGUUGCCAUACAUGCAUUCCCAGGAUGGCAGCAGGCACUUGUUAGGUGGAGAUGGAGAAGGUAAGCCCUACUACCUCAAAAAGAGCAGCCUGGUGUCACCAAACACCUUCACAGCCCGUGGAAUCAGAGGUUUCCCUGCAUUCCCCUGAGUGCUUGUAUGCAGAAGAUGCCUUGAGCAUGGAAACAUCCAGCCUUGGUCUGAGCACUUGAUGCUUUUUCUGCUGCCAUCAUGGGCCAGCAUCGUGUCUUACCUUUCAUCGUCACCAAAAACUAACCCACGAGGCAUGUCUCUUCCCCAGGCAUUGCAGUUUGCCUUCAGUCCUUCACAACAUUUAAUAAACCUCUCUCUUGGACAUGGAGCAUCUGCACACAUUUUCUCACCCUCCCAAGCAUGCAGAACCCCUAUCUUUGUCCCCAGCCCACCCCAGUUUGAAGCAGGCACAUGGGUCUCCCCUACUACCACCAAUAUCAGCAAGAAAAUUCUUUCUGCUCUUUCUAUUUUUCUAGGGCUGUGAUUCUAGAAAGUCUCACAGAAGCUUGGCAGUACAGAAAAUAAGAAACAGAUUUCCAGUGUUUUGUUUUACCAUUUUC